ensembl:lncRNA
AUUCGCGUCAAGCAGGCGUCACCACCCCAUUUUUGGGGAGUUGGUGCGCUCCUUACCUCAAACUCAACUGGAUGGAAAUCCGUGGACACCAAAAGUCCCGAGUUAUUUCUGGAGCUUUGUACUGGGUUGAAGGAGGAUAAAAAAGCGGGGGGGGUGUUACUUUUCACCAAUUGUCAUGAUAAUUGUUGUCCAUAGAGAAAUAAGGAAAAAUCCUGCUGUUAUUUUCGCUGGAUGGAACUCAGUAAAAAGGUUACGCUCUGAGUCUGGGUAAAUCCUGCUUCUUGCGCUUCAACCAUCCAGAGGAGGCCAGCCGUAUGAACAGCAUGCUGCCUCUGAAGACCCCUGUCUCACCCCUGGGCUACAGCACAGACUAUCUGAAGUUUAGUAGUGACUACAGACAUGGGGAGGUGGGAGGGGCCAGCAGCGCCAGAGGGAUGCGCUCAGCCUCAGAGCUCCGUGAUUUGAUGGACACCUUACAACGUAAGAAGACCGCCCUGGAGACAAGCCUGCGAGCCAAUGGGGACGCUAGCCCCUCCUACUUCAGUAUGACACAGUCUCCACCCACCACGUCUGUGACCUCACCCACGUCGAUGUGGUCGGCCUAUCAGGAACAGGCUAGGCGCUUCUACGGCUCUGAUCGUCCUCCUCUCUCUGGCAAAGCUGCCGCCCCUCACUCCCCCUCUCGGCGCUCUGACCCCCCUUCCUCCCGAACCUCCAUGACCCGGAAACAAUCAUACCAAUCACAGGACAGCCUGCUCAUCUCCCCUGGCAAUGGGCGACGCCCACUAAACCCAAACUCCUCCCCCCUGUUGUCGAUGCGGAACUGUGGAGGUUCCUCUAACUCAGUGGCCGGUGGUGAUAGCCUCUCCUCUCCUCCACCCUCAUCCCUCUUUCCAACUAGUGGAGCAGCCAGCAUGCCCUCCAGUCCCCGCCUGGGACUACGAAGCCACGGCAACCAUGAGCCGGUGCCUAGCAACCGAACCAGGAAGUACUCUGCAGGUUCUAUAGGCGGCAUAAUGGAAAGUCACAGCUGCUCACUGCCCCGCCUCUGCCCCUCAUCACCUCGUUCCCAUGACAACGGAGCCCUGGCCCUGUUUUCCCUCCCCCUGACCUCUAAUCCUCUACGCAACUCCUCUCACAACAAUAGCCAAAACCAUACCACAAACAACAACUACAAUCAUAACCAAAUCACUAACUUCACCUACAGCCAGGCUCAAAACAUGAACCGGAACCAAGGAGAGGGGGUGGAAUCCAUCUCUCUCUCCAUCCCUGAAUCUCCCACCCAGGCCCCUCCAGACGUGACCUCACCGUCCCUAUCAGGGGGCUCUUCCAGCCCCGGUGUGGCCAAGAUACUCAGCGUCACCUCCACCAGCUCCACCUCCAGCCUUCAGGAGCCAAAGAGGUCAGCCAGCCGAGGAGCCUCCCCUGGACCAGAGCUCUUUCUGGGGGAGAGGCGGAGAGAGCACAGGGGGGGAAGACUGGAGCCUGUGCUAGGAUUAGAGGAACGAAGGCAGUCAUUUGGAAAGGGAGGGGUGGGGCUGGGGGCGGGGUUGACCCCACCAGGGGGGUUCAGGGUGAGGAGUGGCAGUAUCAGCUCCCUGAGUGGGAAGGAAGAACUGACUGACUACCACCAUCGCCAGAGAGACGAGAGACUACGAGAACAGGAAGUGGAGAGACUGGUCGCAGGAGUUGUUGAGGUCCUUGCUGCACCAUGAGUUCCCAGAGUCGCC